rnacentral:rRNA from 1 species
GUGAAAUUGUUGAAAGGGAAACGCUUGAAGUCAGUCGUGCUGGCGCGAAAUCAACCCACCCGUUGGCAACACAUGCUGUUUGCGAGCCUCAAAACCGCUGCGACAUGUGAUCGCUUCACGGGAGGGUGCACUUUCGAGUCGGCUGGUUAACAUCAAUUUCGAACGUCAUAAAAAGGCUGGAGGGAUGUGGCUCCUUCGGGAGUGUUAUAACCUUUGGCGGAAUGUGGUGGACGGGAUUGAGGAUUGCAACGGAUACCUUCAGGGCUGUUCCACCUGGCCUCUCGUUGGUAUCCUGGCGGCGACAGCUUGCUGACGUCGUUAGGAUCCGCCUUCGAACAGGCUAGAGUGUGAGCAAAUUCGUUAAGGAUGUUGACGUAAUGGCUUUAAACGAC